AUACUUACCUGGCAGGGGUGACACCAUGAUCAAGCAGGUGGUUUGCCCAAGGUGAGGCUCUGUCAUUGCACUCUGACCGUGCUGACCCUUGUGAAUUCCCCAAAUGUGGGAAUCUCAACUGCAUAAAUUUGUGGUAGUGGGGGACUGCGUUCGCGCUCUCCCCUG
rnacentral:snRNA from 1 species